UGGGGAAUAUUGGACAAUGGGCGAAAGCCUGAUCCAGCCAUGCCGCGUGUGUGAAGAAGGUCUUCGGAUUGUAAAGCACUUUAAGUUGGGAGUAAGGGCAGUAAGCGAAUACCUUGCUGUUUUGACGUUACCGACAGAAUAAGCACCGGCUAACUCUGUGCCAGCAGCCGCGGUAAUACAGAGGGUGCAAGCGUUAAUCGGAAUUACUGUGCGUAAAGCGCGCGUAGGUGGUUCGUUAAGUUGAAUGUGAAAGACCCGGGCUCAACCUGGGAAAUGCAUCCAAAACUGGCGAGCUGGAGUAGGGCAGAGGGUGGUGGAAAUUCCUGUGUAGCGGUGAAAUGCGUAGAUAUAGGAAGGAACACCAGUGGCGAAGGCGACCACCUGGGCUCAUACUGACACUGAGGUGCGAAAGCGUGGGGAGCAAACAGG
rnacentral:rRNA from 1 species